CCAGCACAUUGAAGUGUCUUUGACAGUGAGCAUCAUUCUCCCCAUCAGUUCUGGAAGGGGAACACGGGAGAAUUCAGAUGGAUGAUACGAAACAACCUGGCAUCUCUCUGCAGGUAUCUCCAUGGGCUUGGCAGGUAUGACACAGGAUGCACAGGAGUCCUAUAUCCCUUUGGGACUGCAGCUGGAGGUCAUAUGUGUGUUAGUUAUCGCAUGAAUCAAAAUUGAGUUUUAAGAGUCCUGCACUUCUCUUGGAUGGAAGUUUGCGUGUCAAAGUGACUGGAAGGAUUUUCCUAGCUCUCAGUGGGACUGGACUGCAUCCCUUGUGAAGCCCAGUUCCCCAGCCG